GUCGAUGUCUACAAAUGAGCCUAUCUGUACAUUGUAUGAAUUAAAGAUGAAAUGAACAUCAUGAAAUAUUUUGUCAAUUCAGUUCAGCAGAUGUUACAGGUGUGAUCAAACUUCACCACAAGGAUGCAAUGGAAAAUAAUUUCAAAAAUGUUGUAAAAAAACUGGUUGAAUGGGGGAAGAACAAAAACAAGGGGAAGAGGAGGAGGAGACAGCUGCAGGAACAAUGAUAUUGACAUGGAUAAUUUAUAUGCCUUAUAACGACCAGUGAAUUCUUGUUGAAGCGUCGUGUGUAUAUAAUAUAGUGAUUGUUAUCCAUAGAACUGUGUUGUGUUAUAUGGAUGAAUAAAUUUUAUAAUUGAA